GACGAACGCUGGCGGCGUGCCUAAUACAUGCAAGUAGAACGCACAGUUUAUACCGUAGCUUGCUACACCAUAGACUGUGAGUUGCGAACGGGUGAGUAACGCGUAGGUAACCUGCCUGGUAGCGGGGGAUAACUAUUGGAAACGAUAGCUAAUACCGCAUAAUAUUAAUUAUUGCAUGAUAAUUGAUUGAAAGAUGCAACUGCAUCACUACCAGAUGGACCUGCGUUGUAUUAGCUAGUAGGUGAGGUAACGGCUCACCUAGGCGACGAUACAUAGCCGACCUGAGAGGGUGAUCGGCCACACUGGGACUGAGACACGGCCCAGACUCCUACGGGAGGCAGCAGUAGGGAAUCUUCGGCAAUGGACGAAAGUCUGACUGAGCAACGCCGCGUGAGUGAAGAAGGUUUUCGGAUCGUAAAGCUCUGUUGUAAGAGAAGAACGGGUGUGAGAGUGGAAAGUUCACACUGUGACGGUAUCUUACCAGAAAGGGACGGCUAACUACGU
rnacentral:rRNA from 1 species